UACGAAGGGGGCUAGCGUUGCUCGGAAUUACUGGGCGUAAAGUGCGCGUAGGCGGACAGUUUAGUCAGAGGUGAAAGCCCAGGGCUCAACCUUGGAAUUGCCUUUGAUACUGGCUGUCUUGAGUUCGGGAGAGGUGAGUGGAAUGCCGAGUGUAGAGGUGAAAUUCGUAGAUAUUCGGCGGAACACCAGUGGCGAAGGCGACUCACUGGCCCGAUACUGACGCUGAGGCGCGAAAGCGUGGGGAGCAAACAGG
rnacentral:rRNA from 1 species